rnacentral:lncRNA from 1 species
UGCUGGUGGCCAUUUCUUCUCUGCUGGUAUGGCAGAGAAAGAGCAUGGAGCUAAUAGACCUGCAGCUGCUGCGGCGCAAUGGGGACUACUGGGAAGCAGGGCCGGGGUACCUGAUGAGCCUGCUGCGCGGCCUACGAUUAGGGGAGUGCUCUCCGCCUGGGGGCGUUCGGAUAGUGCGCGCCAGCUGGAGCCCACGGGUGGCCUGCAGUGAGGGGGCCAGUGAGGCUGGGUCAUGCGUGCGGGCCGCCCUCAUUGCCCCAAAGUUGCAUCCUCAGUGCAUGUGUUUGGUGUAUGCGUGCUUGUGUUUCAGCAAAAAGUGGGUGAGCAUUGUGUUGGAGGCUGGUUGUGUUGUUGCUGUUGAUUGCGGGCAGGUACAAGUGAACCGGAGUGUUAUGGGAGUAAACUCUAGGAUCCCUAGAGGUGUUUCCAGGACGGAGGUGAACGUUACCGCACCGCUGCGCGUGGCGGGGAGGUGCAUGGGCUUCGUUGUGUCUAGGUGUCUUGUGCUCGUGUCAUAGACGGUCGUCUGUUUUGCUAUUGUUCUUGGCAGGCUUCUCUUCCUCCUUCCUACAGACUUCGUGUCUCUUUGCGAUUCCUUUGACGUUUCUUAAAUUGGCGGCGGUUUCGCUUGAAUCUGUUCUCUAAGGUUACCAUCCCUGCAAGCUGACUAUGCCCGCGUAUAAACCCGAAUGCACUCAGCAGUUCAAACCCUAUGCGGAGCCGCCGACUCCGGUGGCCAUAUCCUCGGGGGUUGCUACAACCCACAACUCAGCGCCAUGUACAUUAAACGCCACAACAUAGCCGUCCAAACAAUCGCUCGCACCUUGUCCCGCGGCAAACACGGCGGCGGAUACAUGGUCAUGGACGCUACAUCACGAGACCACCUACCCGACUACGCCGACAGCACCCGCCUGCCAGAAUGUUAACUUGGGCGACCUCGGCGGGAGCAAACAACGUGGCGGGGGCAGGCCCCGCCUGCACGCCCGCCUCUCUCCCCGGUAGCGGGGGUGUACCAUCACCCCCCGCUCCCUUAACCUACACUACCACCUAGGUGGGGUGCAACUACUUCUAUUCUAUUUCUGUGAGCCCGUCAUAAAAACAUGCAUGGUCUGAGAUGGCUGCCCAAGUGCCCAGGCUGCAGACUUCCCUGCCCCUUGCUUACCGGCUAGGACUCACUGUGCGCGGAGUCACACGGACUUUGCCCGCGGGAGGGUUUGCAGCAAAGUCGGGGUUGGUGGAGUCAUGUUGGGCCCUGAUAGCAUGUGAUGGCUCGGCGUCUUCGGGUGCUGGGACUGUCCCCUCUGUAACAUCCGCAUUCUUACCGGGCCCUGCUACUUUCAGCUUCAGUCCACGCGGCGGCCUGCCUCUUCAUGCAUCCAUGCUCAUGCGCGCCAGGCUGAUCUAGCCUGUCAUUGGCGACUCGAAAGACAAAGGCACAGGAUGCACGUUGCAAAGGCCUGACGGGGGCGCUGCCGGGCCGUUACUGUGGAUGGGGUGUGUGCGUGUCUGUCGGGGCUGGUGGGGGUUGCACGCCGGCUCGCAGUUUCCGGAGGCCAUUGACCAGACUGCUUCACCUCCUCAAAAACUUUGGCUAUGAGCUUGGGGAUGUGGUCAUGCAUCAUAGCCAUAGCGGCGCGAAUCCCAACGGUGAUAGUGCGUAUGCCCGCACACCGUGCACACAUUCCGACCAUCCCAACUGCUACUCACCUCAUCGCUGUCUUCACCCAGCGUCACCAUACAAACAGACAUUCCGGCUGCCUGUUCUGCAGCUCCAUGGCAGCUGCGACCCCUCCGCCCAUGGGCCUCCCAUGGCCACGGCUGUCACAGGCCAAAUUGCACCCUUGCCGCUGGUCGCGGCCAGGUUGCCAAGAAAGUCCGAGGCCGUUAUGCUGCAGAGGCUUGAAAUACUGCCAAUGUAUGAUUGUGUCUUGUCUCGCGGCCCAUGCUCGCGGCGCUGGUCGCCGAGAAAAGGCAGUUGUGGCGCAAUGAAUAUAACCUUCUUUAUGUCUCGUAUAACCUAUGCAACUGUUGGCCGAAACAGACCAAAUUGACCACAUUGACAAUUGGCCCCGAAUUGGCCUCGC